GAAAUUUGAGGUAUUAACCAUUUGUCUCUUCAAUGUGUUUUAAGUAGUGUAUGAGGAAACACUGAGACAAAUGGAAGGGAAAAUAAGUGAUUUAAGAGUGAUGGGAACUAUCCUAAACCCUACAAAUUCAAGGUUUCUCGGUGAAGCUAGAAUGAAGUUCAAGGCUGAGACCUGCAGCCAAGCAGAUAUCGCCCGUUAUUUACUACCUAGGCUUCAAUAGCACUUGAUAAUAGGGUUUGGUCUUGCCAACUUUGACAUUUAUUCGGAUCCGCCUGGGAGAUCAGGAGCCCAUCACAGGCACCCCCCACCUGCCCCAGGAGCUUCGGCAGGAGAAUUGCUUGAACUGGGAGGCCGAGGUUGCAGUGAGCCGAGAUCACACCAUUGCACUCCAGCCUGGGCAACAAGAGCGAAACUUCGUCUCAAAAAAAAAAAAAAAAAAAAGAAAAAGAAAAGAAAACAGAAAACAGCAGCCUUGGACAAGCACAAUGGGCAGACUAGAAUUGCAGUGCACAGAUACAAGAAUGUUGCCUGCUUUGGAGCCAAGACUGCCUUCCGGAUAAAGGGCCCACAGAGAGCUGAGAGCUGUGUAAUACCUCAAAGACUGAAGAAAAGAGUUAGACAGCCAUCUUUCCUUAGAGGAUUUUGCUGCAGACAGCUUGAACUACCAGAAGGUUAUAUACUGACCAUGGGUAGAGUAAGGAAGAAAUACAUCCUUCGGAAAGGACAAUGAAGAUCUUUACAGCAGGGAGGUGAGGACAAAGUGAUUCUCCCUUCUGGAGGAUGCAGCAAAGUGCUGCCUGCCAUCUUGGAAGCACAGAGUAGCCUUCACCACACUCUAAUCCCAUCAGAGCCUUGAUCUUGGACUUGCCAGCCUUCAGAACAGUCUUGCCUCAUCACUGCCAUGACAGGGGGGUCCAAUGUGAGGAUUCUGGUGUCUAUGCCAAGCAUCUCUUUUCCAACGUAGAUCUGAUUUCUUAACAUAGCCAACAGCAAGUCAACAUCAGCUUUGCAGAGAAAAGCAGGGAUGCGUGUGCACAAAGAAAAGGCCAUGUGAGGACAUAGCAAGAGGGAAGCUGUCCGCAAGCCAAGGAAAAAGGCCUCAGGAGAAACCAAAUCUGCCAAUACAUUGAUCUUGGACUUCCAGCAUUCAGAAAUGUGAGAAAAUAAAUAUCUGCUGUUUAAGCCACCAGUAUAUUAUAUUUGUUAUGGUAGCCUUAGCAAAGUAAGAUAGUUUGUGUUACUGCCUUCUUUUUGCAGAUAAAGCAAUUAUAUCUGAUAGGUAUUAUGUAACCAUAUUAGUCCCAUAGACAGUUGUUUUUGGAUAAACAUAGAAAUUGACCCUUCUGUUGUUAAAGCUUCAAACUUGUAUUUGCUUUAUCUGAGUUCCUUCCUCAGGAAAGGAUAUUCAGUUCUCUCAAAAAAGUAUCGAAGAACUGAAAUUCACUAGAUCACCAUACCAGAUAACUCCUUGCCCCUCCCUAGUUCCUGAUUUCUUAAACAUUGUUACAUUUCUUCCCUGCUGUAUAAAACCCUAGUUUUAAUCAGUCAGAGAGAUGAAUUUGAGACUGAACUCCCAUCUCCUUGCUGCGGCACCCGAUUAAAGCCUUCUCCCUUGGCAAUAUUUGUCUUCUCAGUGAUUGGCUUUCUGUGCAGCAAGCAGCAGGACCUAGACCAAACCCCUGGUAUUGUGGUAACAAACAACACACAUGCACACACAUAUACAUGCAAAUGACUGAUAAAAGAGAUAAAAGAAAGGAAAAGGAAAGCAGAAGGAGGAAGAUCAUCCAUGAAUCCAUUGAGAAUAGACACUGAUGAUCUAUUUGGUUUCUUUCUUUACCUAAUUCUUUAUCAUUAUAGCUUUUGUAUAUAAUGCUAGCUUUCUACCACAUCAUGUUAGGUUAUUUACCCAUUAUGUGAUCUUUCUUUUAAAUGUUUCUAUUUCUUUUCAUUAAAUGAAAUAAUUGUUAAAGGGGUGACUUCAAUUAACUUCUAGGCCUUCUAUAUAGUGUUGCAAAGGCCCAUAUUCUACAUCUAGGUUAAAUUUUCCUGUCUUUUGUUAUUUAAUUAUCUAGCAUAUGAGCAACAAAUAGGGAUCUGAAAGUGACUAUCUGUGUUGGGUUAUCCUUGGAAAAAUAACAUGACAAACAAAGGUAGAUUAGCCCACUGGUAACAAAAUUCAAAUGAGACAACUAUCCUGUUCCCCAAAUCAAAUAUUUCUCAAAAGCAAUCAAUGAUUAAUUAAAAGUAGUG
rnacentral:lncRNA from 1 species